GACGAACGCUGGCGGCGUGCUUAACACAUGCAAGUCGAACGGAAAGGCCCUGCUUGCAGGGUACUCGAGUGGCGAACGGGUGAGUAACACGUGGGUGAUCUGCCCUGCACUUCGGGAUAAGCUUGGGAAACUGGGUCUAAUACCGGAUAGGAGCCAUCUUUAGUGUGGUGGUUGGAAAGUUUUUUCGGUGUAGGAUGAGCUCGCGGCCUAUCAGCUUGUUGGUGGGGUAAUGGCCUACCAAGGCGGCGACGGGUAGCCGGCCUGAGAGGGUGUACGGCCACAUUGGGACUGAGAUACGGCCCAGACUCCUACGGGAGGCAGCAGUGGGGAGUAUUGCACAAUGGGCGCAAGCCUGAUGCAGCGACGCCGCGUGGGGGAUGAAGGCCUUCGGGUUGUAAACUCCUUUCGCUAGGGACGAAGCUUUGUUGUGACGGUACCUAGAUAAGAAGCACCGGCUAACUACGUG
rnacentral:rRNA from 1 species